rnacentral:rRNA from 1 species
UACGUAGGGUGCGAGCGUUAAUCGGAAUUACUGGGCGUAAAGCGUGCGCAGGCGGUGAUGUAAGACAGGUGUGAAAUCCCCGGGCUUAACCUGGGAACUGCAUUUGUGACUGCAUCGCUGGAGUGCGGCAGAGGGGGGAUGGAAUUCCGCGUGUAGCAGUGAAAUGCGUAGAUAUGCGGAGGAACACCGAUGGCGAAGGCAGCCCCCCUGGGCUGACACUGACGCUCAGGCACGAAAGCGUGGGGAGCAAACAGG